AGGAGCACGGAUCUACCAUUAAUUUCAGCUAAAAGUCCAUGAAUAAUGAGAAUCGAAUGAAAACAUUUUUGACAUUUCAAACUUUAAUUCAAGAUAUCUCAUGCAAUUCUUCACCAUUUUUCAUGAAAUUUAUAUCAGCGUAAUCAGCAUGAAAAACUCUACACAAUUAUGGUAAUAGUAUGGAGAAUUAAGAGUUUCGAAUUCAAACCUUCUUGAAGAGAAGUCAAUGGAAACAGUGGAUUCGAGCUCUCGCAAGUGUCAA
rnacentral:lncRNA from 1 species